CAGGCGCCCUGCUUCGGUAAUCCAUAAUGAAAACAUUCAAAAAUCUGUUUGAGGCGCAAAGCACGCUUCUUCUGUUCCGCGGACAUACAUCAGAAUAACGCUUCGAACACACCGGCUGGGUCAUUGCAUCACUGCUGCAUAACAUUUUGGGCAACUAGGCAACUAUACUGAUGCAGGUACAUUUUGCAAAUGGUCGCAUGCGGUUGGACACAUGGAGGAGAGAAUCAUUUUCGCAGUAUCCUCAAAACCGUGUCUUUUUUACACAACUGCUGACAGCUACAGGGACAUAAACACAAAAAAUGCUGCUCGGAGACAAGUGUCCACGAUAGUAGGCUUGCCAGAAUGGAAACCAUGCAGAGGAGCCUGGGCUAGGGGGAGGCUGAUCAAUGAUGCUUCAGCAGAUGAUCCAAUUGAUCAAGUAUCUCAGUUCAUUCAGGAAGUGCGUUUGUCUGGCUGGCAUGCACAACAAGCCAGUUCCGGUUACCGGGCUCCUCGGACUUGGAGAGGAGCUAGAGGUGCAUCUUGUUAUGCCAUCACUCAAGAGCAACUGAGGUUUCUGAUGUCCUGUGCUUUCAGUGUGUCUCAGAUGGCUGAUAUUCAACAUGUCCCGAUCAACACUCAAACGUCGUCUAAGACUUGGCUCUGGAUGAAAAGAUUAAAGACUUGGUGGCUGGGAACGACAAACUUGGACUGGAGGCUGUUCGAGCACAAUUAAGGGCAUUGGGAAUCCGGGAGCAGAGUGAGGGACAGCAUGAUUCGUGGUAACCCGAGAGCGGCUGCCCUCAGAGCCAUGUCGCAGAGGCUACAUAGAAGGUCAUACCGUGUUGCUGGAAACUCGUUAUGGCACCUUGAUGGAAACCACAAACUGAUAAGGUGGAGGAUACUUCAUAGUGGCAUUGAUGGGUACAGCCGCCUCGUUGUAUUUCUCCGUGCUUCCAGCAACAAUCGCAGCAGUACUGUCAUGGAUUGCUUGAUGAAUGCUGUCUCCAGACAUGGCGUUCCCUCCAGAGUUAGGACGGACCAUGGAGGAGGAAACAACACCGUCUGCUUGUUGAAUACUACUUCUACAAACGAGGCUACACUUGUGGCAGCACCUAUUCCUGUGGCUCCCCAUCUUCUGCACCACUUCUUGUGGCCUCCCCUCCACCACUUCCUGUGGCCUCCCCUCCACCAUUCCAUGAGGCUUGUCGCCCACCUUCACCAAACUCUUCUGUUGAUGUUGGUGAUGACAAUGAGUAAGUCAUCCCUGUAAAUAAUUAAAUGUCUUGUUAUUACAGAUGAAUUGUGGGAAGUAUCUGAACUUUGUUAUUCUGAAUGUCUCUCUUUGGUGUUGACCUCCAAACACUGCUGAAAAUAAUGAGAUGCCAACCAAAUGAAUGUGAUGAGGGACAACAUUUAUGAUUGUGCAAUGAGAGGCUUUAAGAGAGCCCCCUUUAAUCCGGAGGCAAAAAUAGACAUGGUUUUUAGGGAUGCUUACGGAAAAGGGGCAGCUGAUGAGGGUGGUCCCUCAAGAGAAUUUCUCCAGCUGCUAAUGAGUGCCAUUCAUUCCUCUGCAAUAUUUGAGGGACCUGAUUGACAAAAAUGCCAUUCUUGCAACUCUCAAGGUGAGUUACACUUUUACACCAACAAAGACACGUUUGUUUAUGGCAAUAUAUAUGACUUGAGUAAGACAUUUGAUUUUUGUAUGUAAUGUGUCCUUUAUUUACUGUACGUCUUCUGUGUGACAGCACUCUAUGAUAGCGUAUACAAGCAGGUGUGCCUCAUGAUUGCUGUCUGUCUGGUACAUGGGGGUGUAGAGCCACAUUUUUUCAGAGAGGCUAUACAGUCAAGUGUUUGGCCUAAAACCUCCUGUGCCAGAACUGAAAGAAAUUGUGGAAUAUGACUUCAGCGAGAAGUUGAAGGUAAGUACUUUAUACUGUGGUGGAUGUUAUGUUACUGUUAAUUUGCACUAAGUUUGAUAACAUUUUGGGUUGUAGUUCACUUUUCCACAUGGAUUUGGUUUAUUUUUGUUGGCAGUCAAUCUUUAAGGGUAGUGAUAAUCAGUUUAUUGUUUUGCUAAUUUGUCCCAAAACACAGUUCAAUAAACAAUCUAAGAUCCAGUUAGCACUGUUGACGAGGCACAGGAAGUGGUCAUGUUGGGUCCAGUGCAAUACAUUCGUACAUUGGAGAGGGAUUCCCUGGUGGAGUCAGCCACAAAGUUCUACUUAGAAAGCAGGAUACGGGAUCCUCUUGAGUAGUGAGUUUCCAUAUAUCUAAGGAAUCUCAAGUUUAGUUAAAUUCUUCAGGGCAAAUUCAUUGACUUUUUUUACUUUAUAGAUUCAAAGAGGGUCUGGAGUGUCUAGGUCUCCUGCCUUACAUAAAUAGACACUCAAGCCUCUUCAGAGGCUUUUCAUCUACGCUGAGAAACCUCUUUUGGCCAAAGACAUAGCUUCCCUCUUCAAAGCAGAGCGCUGCCCACCUGGUACCAAUCAAAUAGUAAUAGAGAGAGAAGAGUCAUUGUUUCUGGAGGGACUGACUUCUGGAGGUGGAAGGUUCGAUGCAAACCAUGAUCAUUGAAGUAACACGGCUCACAUCAGUAAAACAUCACCUAAUCACUCUCACAACUGUGGGACAGCAUUUUGUAGCCUUAUUCUUCCAUGGGCCCCCUAAGAAUGUAAUAGAAAAAUUAAAUCCCAAACCACUUUCACUUAAGAGUAUUUUGUUCUCCAACAAGUGUUACUUAAGGAAUUUAAUGUCCCCACCUUUCCUUUUUUCAGAGGGGAACACAUACCCUUUAACCAUGGAGGUUUUCAUUUUCACAUCAGGGGCUUCAGCAUUCCUAGGCUGGGAUUGCCAGUGGAGCCACAGCUACAGUUCUCUGCAACCGCACGGCAAACCGCCAAGUCUAGGUCCAAGAGGCUUCUAAACAGAUUCUACCCCCAAGCCAUAAGACUACUGAACAUUUAAUCAAAUGGCUACCAGACUAUUUGCUGCUACUCUAUCUAUGCAUAGUCACUUUAAUAUCUCUACCUAUAUGUAUAUAUUAACUCGACUAACCAGUGCCCCCGCACAUUCUCUGUAACGGUACUCCCCCUGUAUAUAGCCUCACUAUUGUUAUUUUACUGAUGCUCUUAAAUUAUUUACUUUUUUUUGUCACUACAUUGUUGGUUAAGGGCUUGUAAGUAAGCAUUUCACUAAGGUCUACUACACCUGUUGUUUGGCGCAUGUGACAAAGACAACUUGAUUUGAUUUAAAGAAUUCAUUUAAGGGGAAUUAUCUAAAACGUUUAUUGCAUGACCACCUAGUAAGUUCGGAAUACUGCAGCCAAUGUUAAUUGAUGUGUCCCAAAAUAAUUUAUAUUAUGAAAGUUUCCGACAGGUUUGUGAAUCAGCAAAAAAAAGUUCUUAGUGGGUAAACUGAGAAUUAUGCAAAGUAGUUAUGUCAAGGGACUGUUACAAUAAAUACAUCUUACAGUAAAUAUGGACAUUUCAUUUACAUGUGUUAUGGCAAUAAGACACUGUAGUUGGUACAUAGGUCGUGGUGCAGCAAGUUUGAGGGUAGUGGAGAAGCACAAGUGAGACUGAGGGCAGAAAAGGAUAUCAGGGUGCCCAGGAACUUGCAGCUGCUGAUCAUCUCCAUGUCAAUGUACAGUAGAUGGUGAUACUUGACCAUUAUCCCAUCUACUUUGUUUUGCUUAUGCUGAGACUUGUCCUAUCACCAUUGUCAGGUCCCACAGCUCCUUCAUGUGUACCAUGGUAGUGUCAGGUCCAUUCUGGGGAUACACAUUCUUAUAAUGUAAAAAAUCUAAUUACAGGAUUUACACCCAGAGCCUGCUAAUCAGUUUGUGGGUAAGGAUGGUGUUGAACGCAAAGCUAUAAAAGAAAAUGCACUCUAACGUAUGUAAAAAUGUAUAAUUGACAUUUGUUGGGACAAUAGGCAAACUGGAGUUGUACAUAGUGUAGUACAAUCUAUUGAUCCAGUUUUUAAAAAAAAAUCGAUAGACUGGGCUGCAGUGGAGACGGUAAGAAGCUUCGAUAUCAUGGGGACCUAACUUCUAAUGUCCUUUCCUGGUACACCCACAGACACUCCGUCCUACUGUGGCUGAAGACGUUUUGCCUAACUUCAAACAUGAACAAGUGUCAGAUUGAAGCGUCUGAAAAAAUUUAACCUGUUAGGCGGGCUGUCCCGACAUCGGUACACUUAUGACAACAUCCAGCUCAAAGUGCAGGGCGCGAAAUUCAAAAUCAAUUUUUUUUUAUAUAUAUUUAACUUUUUCACAUUAACAAGUCCAAUACAGCAUAUGAAAGGUACACAUCUUGUGAAUCAAGCCAACAUGUCCGAUUUUUAAAAUGUUUUACAGGGAAGACAAAAUAUGUAAAUCUAUUAGCUAACCACGUUAGCAAAAGACACCAUUUUUCUUAGUCCACCAUUUUUUCUCAACACCAGUAGCUAUCACCAAUUCGACCAAAUAAAGAUAUUGAUAGCCACUAACCAAGAAAAAAACUCAUCAGAUGACAGUCUGAUAACAUAUUUAUUGUAUAGCAUAGUUUUUUUAGAAAAAUGUGCAUAUUUCAGGUAUAAAUCAUAGUUUGCCAUUGCAGCCACCAUCACAAAUCUCACCAAAGCGACUAGAAUUACUACAGAGAGCAACGUGUAUUACCAAUUUACUCAUCAUAAAACAUUUCUUAAAAAUACACAGCGUACACUAAUUGAAAGACACAGAUCCUGUGAAUCCAGACAAUAUUUCAGAUUUUCUAAGUGUCUUACAGCGAAAACACAAUAAAUCGUUAUAUUACCAUAGCACAUGUGCAAACAUUACCCCAGCAUUGAUUCACGGCAAAAAGAGCGAUAGCAUUAUCACCACCAAAAUGUAUUAAUUUUUUCACUAACCUUCUCAGAAUUCUUCAGAUGACACUCCUGUAACAUCAUAUUACAACAUACAUAUAGAGUUUGUUCGAAAAUGUGCAUAUUUAGCCACCAAAAGCAUGGUUAGACAAUGAGAAAAGUAGCCCAGCUGGUCAGAAAAUGUCGUGCGCCAUAUUAGACAGUGAUCUAGUCUUAUACAUAAAUACUCAUAAACUUGACUAAAAAAUACAGGGUGGACAGCGAUUGAUAGACAAUUUAAUUCUUAAUGCAAUCGCUGAAUUACAUUUUUUAAAUUAUCCUUACUUUUCAAUACAGGUUGCGCCAAGCGAAGCUAUACCAAACAAAAUGGCAGCAUAAGCGUUUAACAUUUUUCGACAAACACGAUUUAUCAUCAUAUUGUUCUUACUAAGCGGUGAUCUUCCAUCAGAAUCUUGGGCAAUGUAUCCUUUCUUGGGUCUAAUCUUCUCUUGGUCGAAAGAUGUCCUCUUGUCCGUCGAAAUGCCCACUAACGUACGACCGGGACCCCGAAACGUGCCCGGCGCUUCAAAGUGCAUCAUAAAGCAAUGCCUCAAAAUCGCACUAAACGGAUAUAAAUUGCUAUAAAACGGUUUAAAUUAACUACCUUAUGAUGUUUUUAACACCUAUAACGAGUAAAAACAUGACCAGCGAUAUAUUACUGGCUAAACUAAAGCUUGGAAAGAGAGCAGGUCCGAUGUCCAUCGUGCGUCAGGCGCAGCAGGAAAAGGAAGCUCCUUCCACCUUGUGCUCUUUUAUACAGGCCCUGAUUGCGCAAUCGACUCCAUUCAAAGCGUCACCACGUACUGACAUCCAGGGGAAGAUGUAAGCAGUGUUUGUAUCCUCAUAGCAUUUACAGGGACCUUAAAACCGACCCCAGAUCAGGGGCCAAGAUUUCUGAAAUCUGACUCCCUGUCAGGAAAAGUGCUGUAGAAGGAGUUCUGUUUCACUCAGAAACAAAAUUCCAACGGCUAUAGAAACUAGAGAGUGUUUUCUAUCCAAUAAUAAUAAUAAUAUGCAUAUUGUACGAGCAAGAAUUGAGUACGAGGCCGUUUGAAAUGGGCACGAUUUAGCUGGCUACUCAGUAACGCCCCCUGCAGCCAUAAGAAGUUUAAACAGAACCAUAAGAGCAGAUUACUUUGUCAUCUUUACUGACACAGUUUUAAAAUGUCUAAUUGUAGUCACUUUCAAUUGAUACAUUGACUCCAAGAACCAUAGAUUGUAGUUCAUAACAUUUACACAACUGAAAAACGUUGCUUGACUGUAAAUUGGGAUACAUGUUUUAAUAACAUUGGAUAUUUGAUUGGGCUUAAUGUUGCAUACCUUGUCGUGUUGUGCAUGCAUGCCAACCAGGUGAGAAUCACCUAAAUUAAUUGAUACUUGAUGAAUCAGGUCUUCUCUGCUACUUUAUCAGCCUCCUCCUUGCCCAUUCCAAGCUCCGCUUCAUGGUUCCCUUCUGCUAGACACAAUUGUGUGAAAAUAAAGCGGAAGGAAUGGGAACCCUAUUCUUUUGAAGCAGUACUGGGUAUAUGCCUGAAGUUAAUUAAUUACCCUACUAAGCUUUGAUGGAAUAUAUUCAAAAAGUGAACGUGCACAUUAGUCUACUCUGUUUGAAAGCUGACAUGUAACGUUAGAUGUUAGCAAAGGUUUUACAAGGUUGUCACUAGCCAAAUUUGCUUUGUGAGCUUUUCUGUCUUCAUGCUAAUCGCGAGCUAGCGCGGCUAACGCUAGCAUUUAAAUGAAAGCCAGUCAGGCUGAAUAAGUUGUUUUGCUUAAAUACAAGGCUUUGGGCUAAAAACGUAACUCAAAAACAUGUCCUGCUUCAGUACUAGCCGACAAGUCACAUUUAGGUAGCUUGUCUUAAGUCAAUGAUAAAGUAAAAUAAAAUAAAGACAAUAGUCCAGAAAUCGAGUACUACCAGGAUUUUGAGCAUCUCCGUUGUCUAAUCUAUUGUAAUGAAACAGCAGGGAGCAGGUCUCGAACCCUCGACCUCCUAGCCCGAGGUCCGGCGCGCUAUCGACUGUGCCGCAAAAGCAUGCUCGAGCGGCAGAGUCGAUUUCCGCGCUUAUAAACCCAGGGUCGUUACACUAUGUAUGCCUGGCCCUGCAUACAAGCAAUAAUCUUGCUAGUAUGUAAAUUAAUUAACACAGUCCAAUGUGUUUCCGUGGCUGUUAUAGUUUACAUGUUUUUUUCAGCAGGGUUUUUAAUAAAACACAAGACGGUGCCGUUCACUGAGUUUGAGGCUAACUAACUUAUAUGAUAUAUGGCCGGGGUUCGAGGCUACCGAAGUUAGCUAAAUUAGCUAGCAAAAUAUCUGAUUUAGCUUAUGCUAAACACUGCUGAUCCUGGUGCUAGAUUAAUGUUAGCUGAAUUUUAUAGCCAGUGAUGAGAAACAGAUCCUUCCACUGUAAACUAGCUGAUAAACGUUACGAUUCAGUAACAACAAAUUUCAAAGUUACCUUGUAAAGGUUCAAACUCUGCUUGCAGUGGAAAAUGAAGUUCCUUAAAACUGUGAAAUCUGGUUGAAAGGAGGAGCUAGGGAAAUUGCCUAGUAAAAUUAGCAUAUUGUAGCGACCCGCACAGACAGCUGUGUGUUAUGUGUUAGGCUAGUAGGUGGUUGUGUUCGCGGGGUCCGACAUGUCAGUCAACCUGCUAUCUG